CAACAAUGAUCAUGAAUAUCAUCCGGUCGACUUUGGUGGUCUUGAUGCUGAUUCCUCUGCUGCUCCUGAUUCUGUGGACGAGGAAGAAGAAAGCUCUGAGCUCCACCACUGAACCACAUGAACCUGUAGAGAUAGAGUUGGACUCUUGUCCUGAGUACGAGAACGACUCAAACACUGCAGCACAGACAGAAGACUCAGAGGAGCAGGAAGACCGGGUGUGAAGAUGCGGUUGAACCAGAGGCGAGACUCACGUGAUGGAAACAAAGAAGUACGACGUUGAGAUAUGAGUGUGGAGAGCGAGGCUGUGCAGGAUGUGGAGGAAGUGGAGACACAAAGCUCCCAAAAGUUGUUCUUGUCAGUCGGUUUAGAGAAGAUUUAGAAGAACGAGGUGUUGGCAGCUUGAACUGAAUCAUGUCGAGGUCACAAACUAGAUGUGUUGUUUAGAUCAGCUGAUGGUCAGGUGCUGUGUGACUGACUGACUCAUGACAAACUGCUGAAGAUAUGCAAGCUUUUUAUUCUUUAGUUCUUUAUAUGACAGAUUAUUAUUAUUAUUGUGACGAUCCA